CACCGAAUCAGAAAAUGAAGUGGCCAAGGAAAAGGCUUUGAUUGCUGCUACCAGUGAGCUGGAGAGACUUUUCAAGAAAGAAGAUUUUACUAAAAUGAAGGUGAUUGGGCAAUUCAAUCUUGGAUUCAUUAUAGGCAGGUUGGAUGAGGACCUUUUUAUUGUUGAUCAGCAUGCUGCAGACGAGAAGUAUAAUUUUCAGCGUCUGUCACAGUCAACUAUCUUGAAUCAGCAACCUUUGCUUCGGUGAGGAUCUUCAUUCUCCUGCUAUGUGUUUUGUGUAAGAUUGUUUUUAAGUUCAUAAUGGAUCAAGAUAGUUGCAAUCCCUCCAACACAAUAGUAGCUGGAAAAUGAUGUGUUUUUAUUAAGCUAAAUCUAUACUGAUGUUACUUUACUCGACCAAAAGAAUAAAGGGAUUACCUUCUCCUUUUCCUUCUCAAUAAGUGAUUUUGCACGAUAAAAAGAGCAGCAUAAAUUUUAAAAGCAGGGACUGAGAGAAGACUUUAUUUUUGUCCCUUGUGUUUUGUUUCUUUAAUUGCUUCGAAUGGGAUUUGAGCUACUUUUACUCGAAGCGACUAAACAAGUUUACAUGCCAAAUCAUAUCUUGAUGCUUCAAUCUUAAAGUAGUAACUUGUUAUCUGGUUUGAGUUGGUGCAGGAUUUGGUGAAUGAUUUUGUGAUUAUCUCUGCUUUUAUCUUUCACCC